GACGAACGCUGGCGGCGUGCCUAAUACAUGCAAGUCGAGCGCAGGAAGCCGUCUGAACCCUUCGGGGGACGACGGUGGAAUGAGCGGCGGACGGGUGAGUAACACGUAAAGAACCUGCCCAUAGGUCUGGGAUAACCACGAGAAAUCGGGGCUAAUACCGGAUGUGUCAUCGGACCGCAUGGUCCGCUGAUGAAAGGCGCUUCGGCGUCGCCCAUGGAUGGCUUUGCGGUGCAUUAGCUAGUUGGUGGGGUAACGGCCCACCAAGGCGACGAUGCAUAGCCGACCUGAGAGGGUGAUCGGCCACACUGGGACUGAGACACGGCCCAGACUCCUACGGGAGGCAGCAGUAGGGAAUCUUCCACAAUGGACGAAAGUCUGAUGGAGCAACGCCGCGUGAACGAUGAAGGCUUUCGGGUCGUAAAGUUCUGUUGUAAGGGAAGAACGACUUUAGUAGGAAAUGGCUAGAGUGUGACGGUACCUUAUGAGAAAGCCACGGCUAACUACGUGCCAGCAGCCGCCGCAGUAA
rnacentral:rRNA from 1 species